GUGAUGAAACCACGAUAGCCCGAGAAUUGAGGAAACUCGCAUGGGCUGA
rnacentral:snoRNA from 1 species